ACUGCAUGUCUAGUACUUUGGGGAUGCCCAUUCUCUCCAAGGCUCUCAUAGCCUAACUGUAGAGAAAAGGCUUACAUGUAUGACAUAUUAAGAUUGUAGAAACCAGCACCUGUGGGACCUCUGAGAGGGUCUGGAAUUAGGGUUCAGGUACCAUCCAUCUGUUACGUGCUUUGAAGAUGCCACUCCAUCUGUGGGAUUCAAUUUACAUAAACUGAAGACUAUUCUUCUGAGUUGAAGUGAGGAGAGGCAUCAAUCACACUGGAAAAUUAUUUGAUCUCCUGGAAGCAAAAAGUCCACCAUGAAGUUGUUCUUGCCAUGGACUUCUAGAGGAGCUGACUGUCCUUUGGGAAGCUACAAAUACAGCCUUAAAAUCUGUUAGCAGGGAAGAGAGGCUUUUUCUGAGUGAUCAGGAAUGAAGAAGCAGAGAUCAUGCAAGGUGUUUCCAUCCAAAAGUAGGCAUCUCAUGUCAUCUGCUCUGGCCAGUAUUUAACCUUGAGAAAAGAAGAAGUGUAGAGAUGAUGUACUUGCCUGAGGGAUGGAUUAAAAAGUCUUUGGUCUUCUCUGAACGGUAAAAAAAAAAAAAAA
rnacentral:lncRNA from 1 species